rnacentral:rRNA from 1 species
UGGGGCGGCUUACCAUGCAGUCGAGCGGAACGAUCCUAGCUUGCUAGGAGGCGUCGAGCGGCGGACGGGUGAGUAAUGCAUAGGAAUCUGCCCGGUAGUGGGGGAUAACUUGAGGAAACUCAAGCUAAUACCGCAUACGCCCUACGGGGGAAAGCAGGGGCUCUUCGGACCUUGCGCUAUCGGAUGAGCUUAUGUCGGAUUAGCUGGUUGGUGAGGUAACGGCUCACCAAGGCGACGAUCCGUAGCUGGUCUGAGAGGAUGAUCAGCCACAUCGGGACUGAGACACGGCCCGAACUCCUACGGGAGGCAGCAGUGGGGAAUAUUGGACAAUGGGGGCAACCCUGAUCCAGCCAUGCCGCGUGUGUGAAGAAGGCCCUCGGGUUGUAAAGCACUUUCAGCGAGGAAGAAUGCUUGUCGGUUAAUACCCGGCAAGGGAGACAUCACUCGCAGAAGAAGCACCGGCUAACUCCGUGCCAGCAGCCGCGGUAAUACGGAGGGUGCGAGCGUUAAUCGGAAUUACUGGGCGUAAAGCGUGCGUAGGCGGCUUGAUAAGCCGGUUGUGAAAGCCCCGGGCUCAACCUGGGAACGGCAUCCGGAACUGUUAGGCUAGAGUGCAGGAGAGGAAGGUAGAAUUCCCGGUGUAGCGGUGAAAUGCGUAGAGAUCGGGAGGAAUACCAGUGGCGAAGGCGGCCUUCUGGACUGACACUGACGCUGAGGUACGAAAGCGUGGGUAGCAAACAGGAUUAGAUACCCUGGUAGUCCACGCCGUAAACGAUGUCGACUAGCCGUUGGGGUCCUCGAGACCUUUGUGGCGCAGUUAACGCACUAAGUCGACCGCCUGGGGAGUACGGCCGCAAGGUUAAAACUCAAAUGAAUUGACGGGGGCCCGCACAAGCGGUGGAGCAUGUGGUUUAAUUCGAUGCAACGCGAAGAACCUUACCUACCCUUGACAUCGUGCGAACUUUCCAGAGAUGGAUUGGUGCCUUCGGGAGCGCACAGACAGGUGCUGCAUGGCUGUCGUCAGCUCGUGUUGUGAAAUGUUGGGUUAAGUCCCGUAACGAGCGCAACCCUUGUCCCUAUUUGCCACGAUUCGGUCGGGAACUCUUGGGGACUGCCGGUGACAAACCGGAGGAAGGUGGGGGAGAAAAUCAAUCAUUCUGGGCCCUUCCGGGGGGGGUCCACCCCGCCUCAAAGGGCGGGCCAAAGGGGUGU